CCUGCCUGAACUGAUGUGUUUUUUUCAAAGAUUAAGCCAUGCAUGUAUAAGUUUAAUCGUUGAUCGAGAAACCGCGUACGGCUCAUUAGAAUGGCCAUUAUUUACUUGAUCUUGAUUGUCUAAAUG
rnacentral:rRNA from 1 species